GACGAACGCUGGCGGCGUGCUUAACACAUGCAGGUCGAACGAUGAAGCCGGAGCUUGCUCCGGUGGAUUAGUGGCGAACGGGUGAGUAACACGUGAGCAAUCUGCCCUUGACUCUGGGAUAACUGCGGGAAACUGUAGCUAAUACCGGAUACGACACCUUGGGGCAUCCCAGGGUGUGGAAAGAAUUUCGGUCAAGGAUGAGCUCGCGGCCUAUCAGCUAGUUGGUGAGGUAAUGGCUCACCAAGGCGACGACGGGUAGCCGGCCUGAGAGGGUGACCGGCCACACUGGAACUGAGACACGGUCCAGACUCCUACGGGAGGCAGCAGUGGGGAAUAUUGCACAAUGGGCGAAAGCCUGAUGCAGCGACGCCGCGUGAGGGAUGAAGGCCUUCGGGUUGUAAACCUCUUUUAGCAGGGAAGAAGCGAAAGUGACGGUACCUGCAGAAAAAGCACCGGCUAACUACGUGCCAGCCGCCGCAGUAA
rnacentral:rRNA from 1 species